UUCCCUCCCGUGUCGGGGUUAGAGACACGGACCCUCCCUGUUGGAUCUGGCCGGGCCUCGUGCCCGGCCUUUUUU
rnacentral:ncRNA from 18 species